CGUCGGUCUUCUUCUCAGUCUUUUCGUCUGGUUUUUUAUCGCCGCCGCCAUCUUUCUUAGGCUGAAGAGAGACGAUUUCAAUUUUCUUUUUCGUCUUCUGCUCCAGCUUUGUUUUGAUUACGGCAGGGUCUGCUUUACCGAUAACGGUGAGUUUAUUGGAUGAAGGAUCCGCUUUCACGUCACUCACACCAUCCAAAUGCUUCACAGCUCGUUUCACUUUCUUAGCACAACCGUCGCAAUGCAUAUCGAUCUUAAAAACGGCAGUGACUGCGCCGUCGUCCUUCUUCUGACCGGCAUCGCCGGCCUUCUUCUCUCCGUCAUUCUUAGCACUUUCAACUUUCUCACCCAUCUGUUAUGUUAAG
rnacentral:misc_RNA from 1 species